rnacentral:misc_RNA from 1 species
AGCUAAAGUGAAUUCUCAAAGAAUUGCAAAAAUGGACAACUCACGAUCAAUUUACCCAUUUAUUGCAAGGGGAGACAACUUUUAUUGUCUGUCACUGCAAAUGACCACCAACAAUCAUGAAAUGAAAGAGUAUCUAUAACCAUUCUGAAAAUACAUAAAAGAUACAUAUUUUAAUUUUCUGAUUGUCAGACUUCAUUUUCUGGUGGUUCGGGCGCAGAUAUGUGGGAGGUGUAACGUUAUGGAGUUGCCACGAAUUGCCCAACUAUUCUAUCAACGCAAGUGGAAUUAGACCCAAUAGCACUUCUUUUCUCUAUUGAUUUUGAUCACUAAUCCUUCUCCUUCUCCUCACACUGAAGAUGCUUAUCCUCUAGACUCCAUAGCGUAGUAUUCAUGGCUCCAUGCACAGAAUUUGCACAUCGAAAAGCAAUUUUGCAGAGAUGGAGAGUUUAUACCUUUUUUUAAAAAAAUUUUUAAAUCGAAGGGAGAGUUUAUUCCUUGCUUGCAUGAUUCCUGACAAACAAAAUGUUCCAAGUCACUUAACCCACUCAAAAGCCAUUUCCAAGAGUCUAUACGUCACGUGUUUUGGCCAUUCUCUCAACUUGUCUUUAUAUAUAUCUCUAUUUACUUCAACCCAAAGCACGUCCAUGACCUUACAUCCAUGAUCAGUCUACCUGAUCAUCAUGAAUUAUGUGGAAAAAUUAAAAAUAAACAUUAAUUUUCAAGCAACAAGAAGAAUAAUAUAAGGAAAAUAAAUGAAAAAAAGGUAGGACAAUAUGUUAACAAACGGAGGCUUGGAAUGGAAGCCGUUGAAAGUUGAAACCUCUGCCCUUGCUUGGAUUGGAAUCAAAGUCAGGAUA